rnacentral:ribozyme from 1 species
GCAACAACACUGCUGUUGUUGAGAAGCCUCCAUCCAGUAUUGAGGCUUGGCCUUCGUCCACUGUACCUGGGU